CAAUUAAAGCUGGUUAAAGGAACUUUUAUUUUGGAAAAAGAACUGCUGCUGUUUCAAGACAUGCGCACUAGCUGCGACAUCUAGUGACGACAUUUACCGGGCUUUAACGGUUGUUGCUGCAUGAAGUCUGCUGCAAUUUCUCUGAGAUUUCUCAAGAUCAUCAGUUUGGACAGAAUUCAUUUGAAGAAUUAAUAGCACUAGCAGGUUCCAAUAAAGGCUGGAACAGAACAGACAGAAAAGAAUCUGUCAGAAGAAAUUCAACUACUGUUCGUGCACCAGAUGUUGAAGUAGAAAAGUUUGUAAAAACUUCUGCAGCUUGCAUCUGACAGAGAUGCAAAAAGAAUAAGAGAGCGGGCCUGAAAACAAGCAAAUUCAAGUCUUUCCUUCUUUUAGGGUACACUUGAGGAGUGUCCAGAUGUUUAUUAAUGUUUUAUUAAUGUAAUGUUAUGUUUCAAAUAAACAUGUAAACAUACUGUAUAUUUUUCUUUCUUUUUUAAACACCUACAGUAAAGUGUGACACUUAACACAUUAAAAGCAUCACAAACAUUGAGGAUAGAACUUCUAAUGUGCAGUUUAACUUUUUUUAACUAAAUAUAAUAAAAGUUUUUUUAAGAAGGGAUAAGUACAUGCCAUCUUAAGGGCUAAGGUUAUAAAGUAUUGUUUUGUGGAAAAAACACUUUAAAAAAAUUUUUGGGCUAGUUUCGUCUGAGUGUACAGUUUAACCUGGCAUGAUUCUGGCACUUUGCUGGCAGUGUCGGCUGACUUUAAGCACCCGGACAUUGGCCAGUUUUGGCUGAGUGUACAGUUUUAGCUGGCGUGAUUCUGGCACUGUGCUGGCAGUGCCGGCUCACUUUAGGCACCCGGACAUGGGCCAGUGUACUUGGGCCGAUUCUGGGGCGUCAUUCAUCCCAGAGUUGGCCCUUUUCUGGCAGCCGGAACUGGGCCGUGUUUUUUUUUCUGGCCUGCCGGAUUUGGGCCAUUAUUGGGCCAAACUGUUUUGGCUA